AGGGCGUACAGUGGAUGCCUUGGCACCGAAAGACGAUGAAGGACGCGACUACCUGCGAUAAUCCUCGGCGAGCUGGAAGUAAGCUUUGACCCGAGGGUCUCCGAAUGGGGAAACCCGAUGCGCGUUAUGGCGCACCACCUGACCGGCCAAUACAUAACCGGCAGGAGACAACCCUGGGAAUUGAAACAUCUAAGUACCAGGAGGAAAAGAAAGAGAAUUCGAUUCCGUCAGUAGCGGCGAGCGAAAGCGGAAGAGCCUAAACCACCUUGAGUGGGGUUCGGGAUCACAUCAGUAUAAGUAGACACAAGGAGAAUUACCUGGAAUGGUAAGCCAAAGAGGGUGAAAGCCCCGUACCUGUAAAAAUGCUACUUGUCGUGAUUUCCAGAGUACGGCGGGACACGUGAAAUCCUGUCGGAAUGUGCGGAGACCACUCCGUAAGGCUAAAUACUCUUCGGUGACCGAUAGUGAACCAGUACCGUGAGGGAAAGGUGAAAAGAACCCCGGGAGGGGAGUGAAAAGAAUCUGAAACCGUAUGCCUACAAAAAGUCAGAGGGCGUUAAAGCCUGAUGACGUGCCUAUUGAAGAAUGAGCCGGCGAGUUAUGAACACAUGCGAGGUUAAGGAGAAGAUCCGGAGCCGAAGCGAAAGCGAGUCUUAACAGGGCGACAGUAUGUGUUUGUAGACCCGAAACCCGACGAUCUAGCCAUGAUCAGGAUGAAGUAAGGGUAAAACCUUAUGGAGGUCCGAACCGACGUUCGUUGAAACGCCCGCGGAUGAAUUGUGGCUCGUGGUGAAAUUCCAAUCGAGUCGGGUAAUAGCUGGUUCUCCCCGAAAUAGCUUUAGGGCUAGCCUUGGGACAUUGUUUAGUGGGGGUAAAGCACUGAAUAUGAGCGAGCCGCGCCAAGCGGUAUCAAUCAUAAUCAAACUCUGAAUCCCAUUAGAUGUACCCCAGGAGUCAGACUACGGGAGAUAAGUUCCGUGGUCAAGAGGGCAACAGCCCAGACCGCCGAUUAAGGUCCCUAAAUUCACGCUAAGUGUCAAAGGAUGUAGAGAUACUCAAACAGCUAGGAUGUUGGCUCAGAGGCAGCCAUCAUUUAAAGAAUGCGUAACAGCUCACUAGUCAAGUGUCUCCGCGCCGAAAAUUUACCGGGGCUAAGCGUGAUACCGAAAUCGCGGAUGAAUCCUAAAAAUUCGUGGUAGGGGAGCGUUCUGUUUGCAGUGAAGCCAUAUCGUGAGGAGUGGUGGAGCGUACAGAAGCGAGAAUGCCGGCGUAAGUAACGAUAAAGGGUGAGAAUCCCUUUCACCAAUUGACUAAGGUUUCCUGGGCAAGGUUCGUCCUCCCAGGGUUAGUCGGGACCUAAGGCGAGGCCGACAGGCGUAGUCGAUGGACAGCAGGUUGAUAUUCCUGCACCCGAGCACGCAGUGAUGCAAUGACGAAAACGGCUAUGCUCACCUCCGAUCGGAAGUGGAGGGCAGAGCGUAGGAGUCGAUUCCUUGUUAAGUACGGGAAUCAUUAAGACAAAGACGUGCGGUAUGAAAGUCGCGAGACGAGUAAGAAACAGCAGACGCCGAUUUCCAAGAAAAGUUGCUAACGUUAAACGUGUUCGGCCCGUACCGAGAACGGACACACGUGGUCAAGGAGAAUAUCCUGAGGUGAGCGAGAUAACUGUUGUUAAGGAACUCUGCAAAAUAACUUCGUAAGUUAGCAAGAAGAAGUGCUCCAGCGAUGGAGCCGCAGCGAAUCGGCCCAAGUAACUGUUUACCAAAAACACAGCUCUAUGCUAAGUCGCAAGACGAUGUAUAUGGGGUGACGCCUGCCCGGUGCCGGAAGGUUAAAAGGAGAGGUUAGGAGCAAUCCGAAGCUUUGAAUUGAAGCCCCGGUGAACGGCGGCCGUAACUAUAACGGUCCUAAGGUAGCGAAAUUCCUUGUCAGGUAAGUUCUGACGUGCACGAAUGGUGUAAUAAUUUGGGCGCUGUCUCGACAGCAGACUCGGUGAAAUCUUAAUACCGGUGAAGAUGCCGGUUACCCGCGACUAGACGGAAAGACCCCAUGGAGCUUUACUAUAACUUAAUAUUGAGUAAAUGCGAAUCUUGUACAGUAUAGGUGGGAGACUUUGAAGUCGGGGCGUCAGCUUCGAUGGAGUCGCCGUUGGGAUACCACUCUGGAUUUGCAUUUAUUCUAACUCCUACCCUGGAUGGGCGGGAGGACAGUGUUAGGCGGGUAGUUUGGCUGG
rnacentral:rRNA from 1 species